rnacentral:sRNA from 1 species
GACACAAUUUGCCACAACAGGACCAAUUAAAAAAAUAUCGCUUCAGUUGGGAAGUGUCGCGUUGAAAAAUACAACUCUGCAAACAAAUGUCAACAAUUCAACUCGCUAAAGUUAAACAAUUUUUAACUUUGACGGCCAAGAACACUUCACGGGUGGCAACACAGAAAGGCGCUUGCUUUCAAGUGUUAAAGCUGAAAAUAUUUAAACUUUUCCGCAUUGCUUUUUUGGAAUUUGUGUACAGAGUCGCAUUUUGCAACGACACUCAAAACCAAAGCUCAACGCGCUCAUUCUGUUUUGACCUUAACAGCGGCAACAGUUCCGACUUUUUCUUAGGCCAUCGUUUACUGAGCCAAAAAAUUUGCAAAAUAAAUGUAGGCAAGUGCACGUCCUGGCUGGCACAUGGCCUAGAAUCAGCUGUUGAAAUACCAUCUUGGCAAUUGUUUUCAACCAAAUCAAUAUGAAUUGAACGUAAAAAAAGAUAAGCAUAAAUGAUUGUUGUCCAUAAAUUUCUCCAUUGUGAUCUGGUCAAGGAGUACAAAAUCUUGUACUCCCACCUCCCGUUGUUGCAUUGCCAUGGUUGUGUUGGGAUUUGUUAUUCUGUUGAGUGACAAUUGUAACGAAAUCGGUGCGGGU